UAAAACCUGUCAAUAUUAUUGGACUGUGAACAUUAUUAUUUAAGUCGUCGUUGUGCAAUAAUCUCAACAAAAUGUCGGCCACAAUCAAGUAUCUAUCCGUUUUCUAUCUGUGUGUGGUGCUGGGCGCAGUAUUUGCGAAACACGUCGCGCCUGAUUCUAAGCCCGUGUCUCAUCAUGUUGCUGACAGUGGAAAUGUCAAUAAGAUAGUUAUAUAUUUCGGGAGUUCUGAUCACAAUGAAGUUGGUGAUGAAUGUACACAAUAAUCAAGAUUCUCAUAAGCGUGUCAAAAGGCAAUUGUUCACUAUAGACGAAAACGAGAAUUUCGAAGUGCGGUUCUUAUAAUGUAAAUGCAAAUACGAGAUGCCGAGAAAAAUUGUAAAGAAUAAGGAACAUAUGGGAGCGUAUGGAUGAAAUUCAAUUUCAGACUACACACCUACUAGAACACAAUAGAUCCUUUCUCGUCGCGA